rnacentral:rRNA from 1 species
GGCGGGACACGUGGUAUCCUGUCUGAAUAUGGGGGGACCAUCCUCCAAGGCUAAAUACUCCUGACUGACCGAUAGUGAACCAGUACCGUGAGGGAAAGGCGAAAAGAACCCCGGCGAGGGGAGUGAAAAAGAACCUGAAACCGUGUACGUACAAGCAGUGGGAGCACCCUUUGGGGUGUGACUGCGUACCUUUUGUAUAAUGGGUCAGCGACUUAUAUUCUGUAGCAAGGUUAACCGUAUAGGGGAGCCGGAGGGAAACCGAGUCUUAACCGGGCGUUAAGUUGCAGGGUAUAGACCCGAAACCCGGUGAUCUAGCCAUGGGCAGGUUGAAGGUUGGGUAACACUAACUGGAGGACCGAACCGACUAAUGUUGAAAAAUUAGCGGAUGACCUGUGGCUGGGGGUGAAAGGCCAAUCAAACCGGGAGAUAGCUGGUUCUCCCCGAAAGCU